UUGGAUAAAUCAUGGGAUUGACAUCUAGCAAACUAAAUUCCUACUCCACUUCAAAGUCACCGUGAGCUCUUAUGCUGUUGAAUUUAACCUUUGAACUAAUCCAGAAUGUGGAGAGGGAAGAGAGAGUUAAGAGUAGAGAGAGAAAGAAGUUGGGGAAGGAUAUAUUUUUGAUGGAAUGGAGGGUAGUUGGCAAGGAGAAGUGUCAAAUUAAAAGGAGGCUGAACAAAAGUGGCAGUUGGAAAAGAAAGAAGUUGGAUGAUUUCAGCAGGGGUUUUGAUCUUUUAAGGUA
rnacentral:lncRNA from 1 species